rnacentral:rRNA from 1 species
GACGAACGCUGGCGGCGUGCUUAACACAUGCAAGUCGAACGGUGAAGCGCCUUCCUUUUUGGUGGGUGUGGAUGAGUGGCGAACGGGUGAGUAACACGUGAGUAACCUGCCCCCUUCUUCUGGAUAACCGCAUGAAAGUGUGGCUAAUACGGGAUAUUCUGGGUCUGUCGCAUGAUGGGUCUGGGAAAGAUCUUGUUUCGGUGGGGGAUGGGCUCGCGGCCUAUCAGCUUGUUGGUGGGGUGAUGGCCUACCAAGGCGGUGACGGGUAGCCGGCCUGAGAGGGUGGACGGUCCCACUGGGACUGAGACACGGCCAAGACUCCGACGGGAGGCAGCAGUGGGGAAUAGUGCACAAUGGGCGCAAGGCUGAUGCAGCGACGCCGCGUGAGGGAUGGAGGCCUGCGGGUUGUGAACCUCUUUCGCCAGUGAAGCAGGCCUGCCUCGUUUGUGGGUGGGUUGACGGUAGCUGGAUAAGAAGCGCCGGCUAACUACGUG